rnacentral:piRNA from 1 species
UGGCAGGUCACCCCANAAGGGCAGCAGCU